UCACCGGGUAAAAAUCAGGGCA
rnacentral:miRNA from 1 species